rnacentral:misc_RNA from 1 species
AUCAUAACCAGAUCCACAAGCAUUCUUCCCCAACAAUCCAGCUGCAUAAGCCUCUUUUCUUGCCUUCUCAAGAUUCUUUCGUUCGUUCACAUACUCACCUCUGAUGUAUAUGUAAGCUGCAGUAGCCCUCAUCCCAACUCCAGCAAUCAAACAACCCUCCAAGAGUUUGUGUGGAUCGUGCCGCAUGAUUUCCCUGUCCUUACAAGUUCCGG